rnacentral:rRNA from 1 species
UACGGAGGAUCCAAGCGUUAUCCGGAAUCAUUGGGUUUAAAGGGUCCGUAGGCGGUUUGGUAAGUCAGUGGUGAAAGCCCAUCGCUCAACGGUGGAACGGCCAUUGAUACUGCCAGACUUGAAUUAUUAGGAAGUAACUAGAAUAUGUAGUGUAGCGGUGAAAUGCUUAGAGAUUACAUGGAAUACCAAUUGCGAAGGCAGGUUACUACUAAUGGAUUUGACGCUGAUGGACGAAAGCGUGGGUAGCGAACAGG